UCCCCUAACUUCUAAAAUUAAAUAUAACACAGGGGCACCUGGGUGGCUCAGUCAGUUAACAUCUGACUUCUGGUUUCAGCUCCGGUCGGGAUCUCAGGGUCAGGACAUGGAGCCCUGAGUGGGGCUCCGUGCUCAGCAAGGAGGCUGCCUCCCCUCUCCCUCUGCCCCCCACCCAGCUUGAGCAUGCUCUCUCUCCGUCUCUCUAACAUAAAGAAAUCUUUAAAUAUAAUGCAGACUGUGACAGUUUUCCAUAGAAAGGAACUAGAAGCAGUGGGUAAGAGUCACCAAAAACAUGCUAACGAUGGAGUCAAAUGCCUGGGAGCAAGUGACUGGAGCGGGGCUUGGGCCCUGGGUGCUAAGUUGGAGCAAAUGACCUGGGAAUUACCCUCUCGGGAUUCUGUGAUCCUCUGACGAUUGGAAACUGAGUCAUAACCGCUCAUCUAAAGCGACCAGGAAAAUGCCAGGCUCCUGAAAUCAACACAGUUCAAGUGGGCCCAGUACUAGGUGAGGUUUUUGGUUGAAAAAAAAAAAAAAAAGAAAGAAAGAAACCAAUUCUGGCUACUUAACUAGAGAAAAUCUACUUAAAAGGGCUUCAGGCAAUUCACAGUUGUCAGGAAGACAGGAAAUGUGGGAGAACAGCCAGGAGCCAAGGGAGGCUGACAGCACCACAGAGGACUCCAGCCCCAGCAGCAGCCCCAGCCAUGAGGCCUCAGCGGUACAGACACCAGGAUGGAGCCUAAACAGUCCCUGCUGGUUUGUGUCACUUGCUCCAGAUUUAGGGCCUGAGUUUAGGUCACAAGCCCACAGCCAUAGCUGACAUGGAUCAGAGAUCAUAUCUGGCCCUUAAAUCAUCCAAAGCAGAACUCCCACUUCCCACCGAAAUGCAUAAAAUGUCAGACUUACCCAAAUGUGGCUGAGUAGCCAAAAAAAUGAGAUAUCCCCCACAGGGUCAUUCCACUAUCUCUCUAGAUACCCAGAGUUAAAAAAAUUUAAAUCACUGAGGGGCCUGGCUGGCUCAGUCAAAAGAGCAUGCAACUCUUGAUCUGGGGGUUGUAAGUUCGAGCCCCACGCUGGGUAUAGACGUUACUAAAAAAAAUGAACUUAAAAAAAUUCUUGGGGCAUCUGAGUGGCUGGGAUCGAGGGGCUUUCUGCUCAGCCGGGUGCCUGCUUCUCCCUCUCUCUGCCCUCUCUUUCUCUCUCUCUCUCUCUCAGAUAAGUAAAAUCUUUUUUAAAAAACUAUUUUAGGUAUGUCUGGGUGGCUCAAUCAGUUAAGCAUCUAACUCCUGAUUUCAUCUCAAGUCAUGAUCUCAGUGGGGAAUCUGCUUGAGGUUUUUCUCUCUUCCUCUCCAUCUGCCCCUGCCCUCGAGCGUGUACACUCUUUCUCUCGAAUAAAUAAAUCAAUCUAUCCAUUUAUUUGAGAGAGAGAGAGAGAGCACAAGCAGGGGUAGCAACAGAGGGAAAAGGGAGAAGCAGACUCCCCACUGAGCAGGGAGCCUGGACCCCAGGAUCAUGACCUGAGCCGAAGGCAGACACUCAACCGACUGAGUCACCCAGCUGCCCCAGUAAAUAAACCUUAAAAAAAAAAAAAAUGUUAGUAAUUGAUUCCUCCUCCUCCCAUUCCAACUCGAGAUCUAAUCAGUCUUCAGGGAGUCUGAUUAGCUUGUUUCCUUCUUUUAAUAUUCAGCCCUUCUUUCCCUUCCUACUGCCACCAUCUUCAUUCAGAUCCCUGUCACCGGAUGCUGAAUCUGCAGAGGACAAGCAAAAAUUACAGUGAGCAGUAUGUUAUGGGGUUAAGGGAGAGACAUCCCUCCCAAAUGGGAUAAUCAGUGAAGACUUCAGAAAGGUAUGGCAAUUGAGGCAGGCUUUGACAGAGGGAUUGGACUUAACAUCCAAAGAUAAACAAGAGAGGAUCCAAGCCUUUGCAGCAAGACAGCAAAGGCAGAGGCAAGAGUGCGGGACUUGUCUGAGUUUUUGAGCAGCCUUUCGUUAAAGCAACUCGUUCCCAUGCCAUGAUUUAAGAAACGCUGGUUGGAAGAGUAGAGAACCUGAAAGAGAUCCAGCUGGAACGUGAGUUGGAAUCAGAUCAAUGUCAGCACUGGAACCUUUAUUCUACUAGUGAAUCAAAAGUUUUCUUAGCAGGGCAGCCUGGGUAGCUCAGCAGUUUAGCGCCGCCUUCAGCCCAGAGCAUGGUCCUGGAGACCCAGGAUCGAGUCCCGCAUCAGGCUCCCUGCAUGGAGCCUGCUUUCCCCUCUGCCUGUGUCUCUGCCUCUCUCUGUCUCUUAUGAAUAAAUAAAUAAAAUCUUUUAUUUUUUUA